CAGCAGCCGCGGUAAUACGGAGGGUGCAAGCGUUAAUCGGAAUUACUGGGCGUAAAGCGCACGCAGGCGGUCUGACAAGUCAGAUGUGAAAUCCCCGGGCUUAACCUGGGAACUGCAUUUGAAACUGUCAGGCUGGAGUCUUGUAGAGGGGGGUGGAAUUCCAGGUGUAGCGGUGAAAUGCGUAGAGAUCUGGAGGAAUACCGGUGGCGAAGGCGGCCCCCUGGACAAAGACUGACGCUCAGGUGCGAAAGCGUGGGGAGCAAACAGGAUUAGAUACCCCUGUAGUCCCUGUCUCUUAUAC
rnacentral:rRNA from 1 species